UCGCGGCCCGGCGGCUCCGGGUGAGGUGAGCGGGGGCAGGGCCGGGGGCGUUCGGGAGAGCUCAUCAGGACCACCCUCUGCUUUUCCAUGGAGGUUGUAACUGUACCCAUCUCAUACAAUCUGUUACAAAGAGAGCAACUGCUGUAUUUAUCAGCUUAGCGAGGGUGACUCACUCCACAGCAUCCAGUACCACUUCAAAUAUGAAAGCAUCGGUUCUUAUCUAUAUUUAACAGUAGUCUGUCCUUGCAGUCCAGCUAGAAUUGCUUUUCCAGACCCUGCCAGCCUGUUCAACAUACCUUGUUUACAGUCAGGGUACAGUCACAAUGGGUAACAAAACUGUUGGAGCUACACGAGUGCUAUGGUUAUAGACUUCAUAUCCCACACUGGAUUUCCAAACACACAACAGUCUUGCAAUGGUGCAGCAAUUUUCAUUGCAGUGGCUUUAGAAUAUGCUUUUCCUGCUUAAGGACAUCAAUUCGCAGCAACUGAUAACCUCACACAACCGAGCAAGAUGACAAGUGCAGUAAAAGGACAUUGCAGGAAGAGAAGAGGCUGGGGAAGUCAAAAGGCUGAACUUGCAGGAGCUGGAACUCUUCUCAGAGUACGAGAAUUUGCAGGGAAACAACUGUGCAUCUGAGAAAACA